AUGGUGGAGACGGGGGAGCCUCUCGCUGGGGGAGAAGGGGACGCGGCGACACGUGGGGUGGGGAUGGGGAGCAGGGAUGUCCGUCCCGGGUGCCCAUCACCCUGGCGCCAGGCCUGGAGGAGAGGGCUGCAUGUGCUGGGUAUGGUGACAAGGUGCCCAGUGGUGCCGCAGGGACAGGGCAGCCACCGUGCCGGGUGCCAGCUGCUGGGACCUGCCAGGGCCUUCGGCAUGAGGAGGAGGAGGAGGAGGAUAAGGAGGAAGGCAAGGAUGAGGAGGACAGGGACGAGGAGGACAGGGACGAGAAGGACAGGGACGAGGAGGACAAAGAGAAAGAGGAGAAGGAAAAGGAGUGUUAGGAAGAAUAUUAGGAGGAGGAAGAGGAGGAAGAAGGUGCCCUCGAGGCAUCGAGGAGCGCAGACAGCUCCUGCUGGCCCCAGCGGUUGCCCAAGCAGCUCCCUGUCAGCACAGGCCACCGCAGGGCCACCACAGACUGGGGACAGUGGUGGCACUCCUGAGUCCAUCCCCUCAGUCCCAGCGGGUGCUGUUCCAGCCCCGCUGUCACCACAGCCACGUGAGUUCAGCACCGGAGCAGCACCCAGCUCCCAGCCCUCCCCAGCAUGGAUUUUGGGGGUAUUUGGGGGCUCGGGGGACACACCAGCCAAGCAGGGUGACCCCAUCCCUCUGCCACUUGCUCCCCGCUCCCCACAUCAACCCCAAACCACAUCCCCCCACCCGCCCCCUCCCGGCGCCCCUUCUUCCGCAAAGGUGCCCGGGGAGCCCCGGGUGGGUACCAGGGGGUGGGGAGGGGGUGAGGGGGGCAUCCCAAAACGGCGUGCCCAGGGGCAGGGGAAGCACCAGGGCCCUCCCGGGGUGGUGUGCGAGCGAGAGGGCAGUUGUGGGACGCAGCCUACCUGCCAGCACGCCCAGGGGCCGCGCGUGGCGCCGCAUGUCCGGGUGCCGGGGGGGGGAGCGGUGCCGCAGGGCGCGCGAGCGACUUCCUUACUGGUCGGCGAGGGGGAAGCUCGCCUUUUAACGUGCCCCGAUUAG
rnacentral:lncRNA from 1 species